ensembl:lncRNA
GAUCAAUUGAAUGCUGGACAGGAUGACAUCAUCACUCAUGUCAUGUACAAAGCUGUCAAGAUAAGAACCACAGCCAGUCUGACGAAACUGAUUUAGCUGACUCAGCAGUGAGAACUGAAGACGUCAGUUAUGGAAAAUCAACCAUCAGAACAAGGAGGCCCAGGUACAGCUGCUCUUUAUUUUUUACUUUACACAAAUACAAGCUAGCUGCUCACUUUGUUUCCAGCUGCCAUGCUAAGCUAAGCUAAUCAAAAAAUAUCCUGACCAAUGUCAGACUUGUGAACUCUGACAGUAAGUUUUACUAAUGGCCAAUAUACAGCAUUUAGGUUUGUAAUAUUUGUACUUGACUAAUUAGGUUAAAACAAAUGUGAAAUAAUCUGCAGAGCAGAAAAAGAACCUGAUUUUUUUUUUUUCUUUAUUUUUGUAAUUCAGGAAAGAAAAAGCUGGUUUACAAUGGACCUGUUUUGCUUUUCCUAAUUUCCUGACAUGUGUUUUUUUAAUUCAGAUUUAAAAACAGAGGGUUUUGUCCUGCCCAAAAAAUCGUAGAAAUAUGUUAUCUAACCAGAUUCUUACUCUGGAUGGCAUUACCUUGGCCUGAAAUCAAAAUCCUCCUCACAUACAGUCUUUAAUAAUCAGGCCCAAUCGUAUGUUAAUCAUCUUAUAGAACCUAACGCCCAAUAAAAUAUCGAG